rnacentral:tRNA from 1 species
GGGAGAUUAGCUCAGCUGGGAGAGCAUCUGCCUUACAAGCAGAGGGUCGGCGGUUCGAGCCCGUCAUCUCCCACCA